GACAGGCAACAUGUGAUGACAUUUAUCCUCAGAUAUUUCUUAACAGGUGAGCUAAUGAUGAAUGUGGAUGGAAGUGCUAAAGGCAAUCCCAAGCAACUGGAAUUGGUGAUGAACAAGUUGCUUGGAAGUUUAGAUUUGUGGAAAACAUAUUGAAAUUUUUGGCACCAGCAUUGAAGCAGAGCUCUGGGAAAUUAUGAGGGAUCUCACUAUUGUAAGGCACAAGAACCUUCAAAAUGUGAACAUGGAAACUCACUCUAGGGUAGCUGUGGCUCUAAAUUCUAAUUAUGGAACAUGGAAGCAACACCAAUCCCUUCAUGGGCAUCAUUAAAGAUUUGUAGAUUGCUCCUUAAUCGACUCAAUUGCAAACUGAUUCAUGUGUUAGGUGCUCUGUUAAAUGUUGAUCUUGUUGAGGUCAUGUACAUCAAACCCCAGUUUCUGUUUGUUUGUUUUGGUUGUUUUGUUCAAUUUCCCUUGUACCACAAAAAGAGAGUUUUCUUUCAAUUGGUGUUUCCAAUUGUUUUGUUGUUGU